CAAAAUCUCUCUUUUUUUGGAUUUUUGAGUUAUAACUCAGUUUUUCAAAUACAAAAUUAGAAGUACAAUAACAAAAGACUCAACAAACUUAACUAGCCUAUGACAGACUCUAAUAUCACCUAAAAGACUCGACAUUAUUGUACAAAACUAGAAGGUAAAAGACGACAUAAAAAAACAGACUCGAAACAUAAAAAAAUCUCUCCUGGAUGCAGCGGUCCUGACUGGAUGGUCCCGGGGUGUCUGUCAUGCUCCAACUCCGGUAAGUAGAUCCACACCUGUAUGAAAAAAUUAAGACCAAAUAAAGUUAAAGACCUAGAACACUAUGUGAGACAAUAACACUCCCUAUUGGACGCAUGCAAGACAUGAUUGAGGCUAUUUUUUGCAAAAUACUUUAUGUGGCCAAAAAGUGGCUAGAAGUGCAAAUUUUGGCUAAGACCUCGCAAAGCCAAGAACCUAAGAUUCACUAGGAAGACCGGACCCUAUGUGGGUUGCCUACGUAUCACGCCCUGAAAGAUGAGAAUCAGGUAUGCGUAGUUCGGGAAGAUUGGAUACAGGCGAGAAUUAAAAAAAACUAAUUUAGAGAAAAUAUUUUUUUUCUUUUUUUUUGGAAAAUGAUGGGAAAGUGCAAAAUCUUUUUGGAUUUUUCAUAUUUGUUUUUUUUGUCUUUUUCUUAAAAAAAAGUAAAAGAAAAACAUAACUGGGCCCUACUUGCUUUAAUUUUACACUUCAACAUCUUUUUCUCAUUUACCGUCAAACCUCAUUGGUCCACCAAAUGACCCCUUUUACCCUUGAAGAUUGCAACAUGCAGCACAUUAAAAUGCAUCAGGAUGGUCUUUUAUUUUUGGGGGUACACUUGUCGUAGAUGGACCCAACCCCUAUGUUGAGUCCCCUAAAUCAAAUGCACGUGAUGCAAACAAACGUUCCUACUAGGGAUCUGGCAUGGGGCUAUGUUAUUCUAGGUUUACAACAUGGGUGUAUUGUUCUAGACCUAGCUUACCCGAGCGGACAUCUCGAGCCGGGGGGGAGGUGGACAGCAUAAAGGGAAUACAGAAGCUUCACCGGCUUUGCUACUUGUCCGAACCUCGUUCUAAAAUUGGGAUAUGACUCUAACAGAAAAAAAAGUCACACGAAGUGCACACUUCCUAAAUGAUUUUGAAGACUCAGAGAGAAGAGGGUUUCGUAACAAUUUAUAUACAGUUCNNNNNNNNNNNNNNNNNNNNNNNNNAGCAGAGUCGUCAGAGCUGUCACACCUCCUUUUUCUACCCUGAAAGGACAUAUGGGAGUUUUUCCAAUUAAAGUGACAAUAAUCGAAACAAGAUUAUUUAUAUAUAUUCAGAGUCGCCACUUGGGAUAAUCGAUGGUGUCCCAAGUCACCGGUUUAAAAUUCCGAAUCGAGGAAGUUUGACACUGUUUACAAUCUGCGAACACAGAAAUCCGGGUAAGGAAUUCUGUUAACCCGGAAGAAGGUGUUAGGCAUUCUCGGGUUUCGUAAUUUUAGCACGGUCGCUCAACUAUUACUAUUGGCCUAAUUAUCUGAUUGAUUACACAUUUUAAACCUACGUGCAUUUUUAGACUUUGUAACCGCUUUUAGUAUUUUUUAGGAAAUUCAUGAUUGUCAUACACUUGUUUGUUUUUGAAAAAUACAUCGUAAACCACGCUACAUGAAAUGCACCCGCGGUUCACGACAUAUUUAUUUAUUUAUUUAACAUUAUUGGAAAUUAAGUUCGGGUCACAUGAAAUGCACACCCGAAUAGGAUUUACGACAUGUUUAUUUUAUUAUUAAUAUUCAAAGCUAUGGUUGGGUCGCAUGAAAUGCACACCCGAAUUUGAAUUUAUGUAUCAUGUCUAUGCCACGAGAACCGCACACAUAUUCACGAUGAUUUAUUAUUAAUCGUGCCUAAAGCAAGCUAUGAUAUUCUAUUGAUUCAUUUUUUCUAAGUUCGGGGAUUUUGUGAAACUACGAAUUAAAGUUAAUUGUGUAUCAAAUGUAUCACUUAUUAUAUAUUAUUACAAUUAAAACUGAAGGUAUCAAAUUAUAAAAAAAAUAGCUAUGGUUGUGUUCAUGUAAAAAAAUAAUCAACUUACUACUGGAAGAAACCUUUCAAUAUCUAUUACUCCAUCCAUGAUCAUAAUUGCUCAACUUUCUGAAUUUAGUUCAGUAUAAUAACAACAAAGUUUUUGCCAAACAACUAAAUAACCAUAUAUUACAUUCUCAGCGCACCCCCUUUAUACCUAUCAUGCGACAAAAUUAACAGCUAAAAUAAACUAUACCUAAAGUAUUUCAAACAAUAGAUCAAGAAAGAAAAGCUAUGAGAAACAGCUAAAACAUUAGCUUGCCUAAUUUCUUCUCCCAUGCCUAUUUAUUCACAUCGCAGGUAUCUACUGCCCCUCUUCAACUUACGUCCAACAAGUAUUCAUAAGAAAAGAUUGGAAAAUUGUCUUGUUAAAAGCUCAAUCAAAGAUCCAAGUCAAAUGGAUUUUAAAAGAAAAAACAAAAACAAAAAAGCAACGAUUGCGCAAAUAAAGUAGACCAGCACAUGAGAAUACAUUUGACUUGGAUUAUUUUCCAGGUAUUCAUGUAUUAAGAAGAGCAAAGAUAUUAAUUUCUGCAAAUCAUAUUUACAUCUUGUGCUCUCUAAAUUCAUAUUAAACACAAAGGCACAACAAGUAUAUAAAUAGAUAAAUAAAUAAACACAACCAUCUGUUAUGAUUCACAAUAAGAACCAAUCAAAAAAGAUACUUGUUCACAGCAUCAUUGCAAUUCUGCCCUUCCAAUAACGAAAUCGUAUUCACACCCGCAUCCCGACCCGGAAGCAUCAACAGCUCGCCACCUCGGACGGACUCAAAUCGACACGAUUUUGGAUGAUGAUUUUGGGCUGAUUUUGCUGAGUUUCAACUAGAAAACAGGGCUGCUUUUUGCUGGGAUUUAGGGCUAAUUUUGGGACUGUUUGGUACCUUUUCGCUGCUGUUUUUUGGUUGAGUUUUGACUUAUUUUUGGCCAAAUUUUUGACUAGUCUUGGAGCUUCUCACUGUUGGCUUUUGGUGCAAAAGGGGUGGUGUUUUGGGUGGGACGAAUUUCUACGGAAUCAUGGUGAAGCUCGGCGACUGACUUCUAGGGCUGGGGUGUUUGGGGAAGACGGCUAUGUAUUUUUUGUUAAGGGGCUUGUGAUCUUUUUGUUAAGAAGAAGUUGGAUUGGGGUUGGAGAGGAUAGAGUGCAGGGAAUGGCUCAGGGGUCUAUUGUGUAUUGCGACUGCUAUCUCUUUUUUGUUCUCUAGUUAAGAA
rnacentral:lncRNA from 1 species